rnacentral:rRNA from 1 species
GACGAACGCUGGCGGCGCGCCUAACACAUGCAAGUCGAACGAGCGAGCGAGAGCUUGCUUUCUCAAGCGAGUGGCGAACGGGUGAGUAACGCGUGAGGAACCUGCCUCAAAGAGGGGGACAACAGUUGGAAACGACUGCUAAUACCGCAUAAGCCCACGACCCGGCAUCGGGUAGAGGGAAAAGGAGCAAUCCGCUUUGAGAUGGCCUCGCGUCCGAUUAGCUAGUUGGUGAGGUAACGGCCCACCAAGGCGACGAUCGGUAGCCGGACUGAGAGGUUGAACGGCCACAUUGGGACUGAGACACGGCCCAGACUCCUACGGGAGGCAGCAGUGGGGAAUAUUGCACAAUGGGGGAAACCCUGAUGCAGCGACGCCGCGUGGAGGAAGAAGGUCUUCGGAUUGUAAACUCCUGUUGUUGAGGAAGAUAAUGACGGUACUCAACAAGGAAGUGACGGCUAACUACGUG